rnacentral:rRNA from 1 species
AGUGAACGCUGGCGGCAGGCCUAAUACAUGCAAGUCGAACGGCAGCACAGCAGAGCUUGCUCUGUGGGUGGCGAGUGGCGGACGGGUGAGGAAUACGUGGGAAUCUGCCCAGUCGUGGGGGAUAACGUAGGGAAACUUACGCUAAUACCGCAUGCGCCCUUCGGGGAAAGCCGGGGGACCUUCGGGCCUGGCGCGAUUGGAUGAGCCCACGUCGGAUUAGCUAGUUGGCGGGGUAAAGGCCCACCAAGGCGACGAUCCGUAGCUGGUCUGAGAGGAUGAUCAGCCACACUGGAACUGAGACACGGUCCAGACUCCUACGGGAGGCAGCAGUAGGGAAUAUUGGACAAUGGGCGCAAGCCUGAUCCAGCCAUGCCGCGUGAGUGAAGAAGGCCCUCGGGUUGUAAAGGCUCUUUUGUCCGGAAAGAAAAGCGCCGGGUUAAUACCCUGGUGUCCUGACGGUACCGGAAGAUAAGCACCGGCUAACUUCGUGCCAGCAGCCGCGGU